AAAAAGACAAACCCUGGGUUUCCGUGUCUAACUUUGACUGUCCGUCUUAUAUGAAAUUUUUUUAUAAUUUGUAUUUUCAUUGUUGUUAAAUGAUAAAACAUGAUUAAUAUUUUAUGCGUGACUUGUCUUUUUACUUUUUUUUCAUAAUUUUUUCAAAUAAGACGGACGGUCAAACGUUGGGCACGGAAAUCAAGGUUUGUCUUUUUU
rnacentral:pre_miRNA from 1 species